UUAUGAAAGGACACAGCCGGACGUUGUGGACGUACGUCAGUUAGCCUGACAGCGGUGGACACCGCCGGGUCUCCGAGGACCGUCCCUCCCAGGAAGACACCGAAAGACACCGCCUCCUGCUCCCUCUGUCUGCCUGGUCGUUGAGGGCCAUCCUGGAGAGAGCACGGCACAGUCCUCCACCUCCUCCACCAGCCUUCAUCACUCAUUAGCCGGGCUGGGAUAGCUGGUUUUCAGCCUCUUCAUCCUCCGGUACCUCGGCAUAGCUAACCGUUAACCGUUAACCGUUACCCGCCGUUUGUUUUUCUUUUUUUUUGUUGUUGUUGUUGUUGUAGUCCGAGCUUUUUGUCCUUUUGAAUUCAGAAAAAGAGAAAAAUUAUUUUACACAUUAAAGAUUCAGACAAGCGUGACUGCCUAUGCGAUGAGCGACGAGAACCUGCCGAGAUGCCCGAAAUAAGCAGCUGAAGCAGCGGCAGCGAGCACCAGCGAAGCACCGCUGAAGGACCGGUUGUCUCUCACACAUCCACAAGCAAGGAGACAGGACGCCACACUUCAGGCUGGACACGGCAGUCAAAUCCCUGAACGACGCACAUUCGACGAAACUGGCAGCGGCGUUUUGCGCCUCAGGAGUCGAAACCGGUCGCUGCUGGAGCGGAAUGUCACUGCUGUAUCUCGAAUCGACGUGCGGUGAGUCAGGCAGGUGUUUGUAGGGCGUCGGAGGUACACGGAGCAGGACAGACAGCUGGCAUAAAGUGGGCACCGCUGGGGCCUCGCCCUCGGAUUACAGUUUGGGCAGAUUAGAGCUAAGCAGCAGUCACCUCGAGCUCACGUACGCCGCCGGCCAGUCGGGCGUUCACCAACAUGCAGCUGUAGGACACAAUUAAAUUAACGCAGCUGGCAGACGGUGCGCAAUCCGAGCUUAACACAUUAAAUCACACACUGCGUUGCAGGACGGGCGCUGCCCUCCCCCGCCACCUACACUUCCACCCAUCGCCCCCUCUCAAAGCCAGCUGGAGAGAAGAUGAGAUUUGGGGUUGAUUGGUUUUGUCUUUUUUGUUUUUACCCCCAUUGCAACCUCUGCGCAUCACUCCAUCCUCUACUUUCAGCUUUGUCCGCCGAUGAACAAUCAUCUUAAACGUCUUUCCAUCGGGAGAACAUCAGACUAUCCGCUUGUGAUUACUUCUCCCAAAGUACUUCUAUCUUUGCAUUUUUUUUUAUUUUAUGUUAUUGAGCAGUGAAAGGACUGCACUUUCUUCUCGACUCGACUUUUUUUGAAAGAGUUGUGAGAACUUUAUCAGUCAGACUCGACGGCAUCCUUCACUUUCAGUGCUGACAUCUAGACGGUCCUGAAAUCCUUUUUUUCCCCCCCUCAUUACGAUUUCAUUUCACUCGCCACAAAGAAUCGAAACUUUUUUUGUCCCAACUUUUUAAACUCCCAUCUCCGAGGAGAGUGUGGAGAGGGACGGCGACAGAAGAGCACUUCAAACGCGACACAAGCGCUAUUCAUCAAGCAGCAAGGCAGGCGCAGACGAUGCACUGAAAAGAGAGAAAAGGAGAGACCUUGAGAUGGAGCGAGAAUAGGUAAGAUGAAUCUUUAAGGAAAAGUAAAAAAAAA